rnacentral:lncRNA from 1 species
UACAUACCCUGGCCAGAAAUAUGCCGACGUGUCCAGUAAAUUUCUGGCAACACAGGCUUCAACUAUGAGAUGACGCAUGUUUCCAGCUGAAAACAAGGUGACGCAACUAACAUCAGAGGAUGAUGAUAGAGUACUUAUAAAAGAACUAUAUCAUAGAAUAAACUAAAGCUUCAAUUUUAGAUACAAAAAUUCAUCCACCCUCAUGCAAACAGAGCUCCCUCUUGUCUCUUCAUAAUCUCAUCAUUUUCAGACUUUUCUUUUUCAGACAAUGGAGGAGAUACAUCUUUAAGCACCUGGGUUUAAACGCAAGGACUCCAACCAAUGCUUUCAUAGAAAUCCAUAUAUCCAUUUUACAAUUAAUGGUUCCAUGGCAUUCGAAAAUGUUUCUCAAGAAGGUUGGUGCUCAUCGGGGACGA